AUGAGAAGCACACAAUUAAGUGAGAGCUUGAAUAGUGACUUGAAAGACCAUUUGAAGUCUGAUCUUGACAUUCUUUGUUUUUUCAAGAACGUAGAGAGGGUUGUGAAAGGAAAGAGAGAUAAAGAGCGAUGGACUCGAGAAGCACGAAGCGGCACUAUUCAAAACAGCCAUGGCAACAUUGUUUUGGAAGACCCUAGAUCGGAAGAUAGGCAGCAGCUUAAGUUUUUCAUGCAUGAGUUCCUUGGCAUAGCUUCCCAAGCAGUUGCAUCACAAGAGUGCAUAAAAUUAGUAGAUGAUGCUUUGAAGAAUCUAAAGAAGCAAGUUGAAGACAAAGCUCCUACUACUACAUGCAGAACUGAAGCUAUAUCUCAGGAACCAGACAUUUGUUUGCAAACAGCCUGUCUGAAGAAAAAGGAAAUUCAGCAGAAGACUUCAAAAAGGAAGAAAUCAUAG
rnacentral:rRNA from 1 species